UACUCAAACAAAAAGACGUAAAGCUCCAACAGAAGGAUGCAAGAAAUAUGGUGAAAUGGAUCGGAUUUGAUCAUCCGGAGAAGAAUUUCACCGGCAGAGUGGACUGCGAUGGAUCACUCUCUCUCUCCAGGGGACUGCCGCUGGAUACAGCCGUGUUGUCAGAGAAGUCGAUACCAGUGAUGGAAAGAUUAAAGUUGUAGUUGCUGUUGCUGCUGCCUCUGAUCCUGAAACGCCACAGGUGCAUGAACUCGAAGGGUUGUACUGUUUUGAUGGAGUUUUAAAGUAUGGGUUUUCUUUUGAUUUCGGUAGGCCAUGUGAUGUUCUAAAGAUACUGUUUGUAAGGCGAAUUUUAAGCCCGGCAAGAUUUGGUUUCAUGGGUGAAUAUGGGCGAAUAAAUAAGAUAAUUGCUUAGUAGAACUUGUUUGUUUGCAGCUGACUCGGCGUCUGAAUCUGAGUCAACCCUUGACUCGGGCCGAGUCAGCAGUUAGACCGUUUGUUUUCCAUUUUGAGUCAGAUCUGACGCGACCUAUUUUCUUCU